GAUGAACGCUGGCGGCGUGCCUAAUACAUGCAAGUCGAACGAACGGACGAGAAGCUUGCUUCUCUGAUGUUAGCGGCGGACGGGUGAGUAACACGUGGAUAACCUACCUAUAAGACUGGGAUAACUUCGGGAAACCGGAGCUAAUACCGGAUAAUAUUUUGAACCGCAUGGUUCAAAAGUGAAAGACGGUCUUGCUGUCACUUAUAGAUGGAUCCGCGCUGCAUUAGCUAGUUGGUAAGGUAACGGCUUACCAAGGCAACGAUGCAUAGCCGACCUGAGAGGGUGAUCGGCCACACUGGAACUGAGACACGGUCCAGACUCCUACGGGAGGCAGCAGUAGGGAAUCUUCCGCAAUGGGCGAAAGCCUGACGGAGCAACGCCGCGUGAGUGAUGAAGGUCUUCGGAUCGUAAAACUCUGUUAUUAGGGAAGAACAUAUGUGUAAGUAACUGUGCACAUCUUGACGGUACCUAAUCAGAAAGCCACAGCUAACUACGUG
rnacentral:rRNA from 1 species